UCCGGUUGAUCCUGCCGGACCUGACUGCUAUCGGAUUGAUACUAAGCCAUGCGAGUCAUUGUAGCAAUACAAGGCAGACGGCUCAGUAACGCGUAGUCAAUCUACCCUAUGGACGGAGAUAAUCUCGGGAAACUGAGAAUAAUAUCCGAUAGAACAUUAUGCCUGGAAUGGUUUAUGUUUCAAAUGAUUUAUCGCCAUAGGAUGGGACUGCGUCCUAUCAGUUUGUUGGUGAGGUAAUGGCCCACCAAGACUAUUACAGGUACGGGCUCUGAGAGGAGUAGCCCGGAGAUGGGUACUGAGACACGGACCCAGGCCCUAUGGGGCGCAGCAGGCGAGAAAACUUUGCAAUGUGCGAAAGCACGACAAGGUUAAUCCGAGUGGUUUCUGCUAAAGAGACCUUUUGUCAGUCCUAGAAACACUAACGAAUAAGGGGUGGGCAAGUUCUGGUGUCAGCCGCCGCGGUAAAACCAGCACCUCAAGUGGUCAGGAUGAUUAUUGGGCCUAAAGCAUCCGUAGCUUGCUUUGUAAGUUCUCGGUUAAAUCCAUACGCUUAACGUAUGGGCUGCCGGCAAUACUGCAAAGCUAGGGAGUGGGAGAGGUAGACGGUACUCGGUAGGAAGGGGUAAAAUCCCUUGAUCUAUUGAUGACCACCUGUGGCGAAGGCGGUCUACCAGAACACGUCCGACGGUGAGGGAUGAAAGCUGGGGGAGCAAACCGGAUUAGAUACCCGGGUAGUCCCAGCUGUAAACAAUGCAAACUCAGUGAUGCAUUGGCUUGUGGCCAAUGCAGUGCUGCAGGGAAGCCGUUAAGUUUGCCGCCUGGGAAGUACGUACGCAAGUAUGAAACUUAAAGGAAUUGGCGGGGGAGCACCACAGGGGGUGAAGCCUGCGGUUCAAUUGGAUUCAACGCC
rnacentral:rRNA from 1 species